UGCCAGCAGCCGCGGUAAAACGGGAGGAGCAAGCGUUAUUCGGAAUAAUUGGGCGUAAAGUGUCCGUAGAUUGUAUUGUAAGUUAAUGGUGAAAUCCUAAAGCUCAACUUUAGAACUGCUUUUAAUACUGCUAUACUUGAGUUUUAUACAGAAAAGUAGAAUUUUAUGUUUAAGGGUGAUAACUGAAGAUAACAUAAAGGAAUACCUAUAGCGAAGGCAACUUUUUGGUAAAAACUGACAUUGAGGGACGAAAGUAUAGGUAGCAAACAGGAUUAGAUA
rnacentral:rRNA from 1 species